rnacentral:piRNA from 1 species
UAGGUGAAUUUUCCUGUCAGCAAGCUUUCC